rnacentral:rRNA from 1 species
UACGGAGGGUGCAAGCGUUAUCCGGAUUCACUGGGUUUAAAGGGUGCGUAGGAGGGCAGGUAAGUCAGUGGUGAAAUCCCCGAGCUUAACUUGGGAACUGCCGUUGAUACUAUCUGUCUUGAAUACCGUGGAGGUGAGCGGAAUAUGUCAUGUAGCGGUGAAAUGCUUAGAUAUGACAUAGAACACCAAAUUGCGAAGGCAGCUCGCUACACGAAUAUUGACUCUGAGGCACGAAAGCGUGGGGAUCAAACAGG